rnacentral:rRNA from 1 species
CCUACGGGAGGCAGCAGUGGGGGAUAUUGCACAAUGGGGGAAACCCUGAUGCAGCGACGCCGCGUGUGGGAAGACGGUCUUCUGGAUUGUAAACCACUGUCACCAGGGACGAAAAUGACGGUACCGGGGGAGGAAGCUCCGGCUAACUACGUGCCAGCAGCCGAGGUAAUACGUAGGGAGCAGGCGUUGUCCGGAAUUACUGGGUGAAAAGGGAGCGUAGGCGGCGAUGCAAGUUGGGUGUCAAAUCUACCGGCUCAACCGAUAGUCGCACUCAAAACUGCAACUCUUGAGUGAAGUAGAGGCAGGCGGAAUGCCUGGUGUAGCGGUGAAAUGCUUAGAUAUUAGGAGGAACACCAGUGGCGAAGGCAGCCUGCUGGGCUUUUACUGACGCUGAGGCUCGAAAGUGUGGGGAGCAAACAGGAUUAGAUACCCCUGUAGUC